rnacentral:rRNA from 1 species
UACGUAGGUGGCAAGCGUUGUCCGGAAUUUAUUGGGCUUAAAGCGCGCGCAGGCGGCCUCUUUAAGUCUGAUGUGAAAAGCCCCCGGCUCAACCGGGGAGGGCCAUUGGAAACUGGGAGGCUUGAGUAUAGGAGAGAAGAGUGGAAUUCCACGUGUAGCGGUGAAAUGCGUAGAGAUGAUGGAGGAACACCAGUGGCGAAGGCGACUCUUUGGCCUAUAACUGACGCUGAGGCGCGAAAAGCGUGGGGAGAAAACAGG